CCUACGGGCGGCAGCAGUGAGGAAUAUUGGUCAAUGGACGAGAGUCUGAACCAGCCAAGUAGCGUGAAGGAUGACUGCCCUAUGGGUUGUAAACUUCUUUUAUAUGGGAAUAAAAUGUUCCACGUGUGGGAUUUUGUAUGUACCAUAUGAAUAAGGAUCGGCUAACUCCGUGCCAGCAGCCGCGGUAAUACGGAGGAUCCGAGCGUUAUCCGGAUUUAUUGGGUUUAAAGGGAGCGUAGGUGGAUUGUUAAGUCAGUUGUGAAAGUUUGCGGCUCAACCGUAAAAUUGCAGUUGAAACUGGAAGUCUUGAGUACAGUAGAGGUGGGCGGAAUUCGUGGGGUAGCGGUGAAAUGCUUAGAUAUCACGAAGAACUCUGAUUGCGAAGGCAGCUCACUGGACUGCAACUGACACUGAGGCUCGAAAGGGUGGGUAUAAAACAGGAUGAGAUACCCCAGUAGUC
rnacentral:rRNA from 1 species